rnacentral:rRNA from 1 species
UACGAAGGGUGCAAGCGUUACUCGGAAUUACUGGGCGUAAAGCGUGCGUAGGUGGUGAGUUAAGUCUGUCGUGAAAUCCCCCGGCUCAACCGGGGAACUGCGUCCGAUACUGGUGGGCUCGAAUCCGGGAGAGGGAUGUGGAAUUCCAGGUGUAGCGGUGAAAUGCGUAGAUAUCUGGAGGAACACCGGUGGCGAAGGCGGCAUCCUGGACCGGCAUUGACGCUGAGGCGCGAAAGCCAGGGGAGCAAACGGG